rnacentral:rRNA from 1 species
AACGAACGCUGGCGGCAUGCCUAACACAUGCAAGUCGAACGAAGCCUUCGGGCUUAGUGGCGCACGGGUGCGUAACGCGUGGGAAUCUGCCCCUUGCUUCGGAAUAACAGUUAGAAAUGACUGCUAAUACCGGAUGAAGUCUUCGGACCAAAGAUUUAUCGGCAAGGGAUGAGCCCGCGUAGGAUUAGGUAGUUGGUGGGGUAAAGGCCUACCAAGCCGACGAUCCUUAGCUGGUCUGAGAGGAUGAUCAGCCACACUGGGACUGAGACACGGCCCAGACUCCUACGGGAGGCAGCAGUGGGGAAUAUUGGACAAUGGUCGCAAGUCUGAUCCAGCAAUGCCGCGUGAGUGAUGAAGGCCCUAGGGUUGUAAAGCUCUUUUACCAGGGAUGAUAAUGACAGUACCUGGAGAAUAAGCUCCGGCUAACUCCGUG